rnacentral:tRNA from 1 species
GCCGGCGUAGCUCAGUUGGUAGAGCAGCUGAUUCGUAAUCAGCAGGUCGCGGGUUCGAUUCCCAUCGCCGGCUCCA